AACGUAGGUCACAAGCGUUGUCCGGAAUUACUGGGUGUAAAGGGAGCGUAGACGGUAAAGCAAGUCUGAAGUGAAAGCCCGCGGCUCAACUGCGGGACUGCUUUGGAAACUGUUUAACUGGAGUGUCGGAGAGGUAAGUGGAAUUCCUAGUGUAGCGGUGAAAUGCGUAGAUAUAUGGAGGAACACCGGUGGCGAAAGCGGCUCUCUGGUCUGUAACUGACGCUGAGGCUCGAAAGCGUGGGGAGCGAACAGG
rnacentral:rRNA from 1 species